UAAGGGUGGAGCAGAGGCUCAGAGAAGCCUCGCCUACUCCUAUUGCCUGGUGGCACCUCCCUGUCUUUUCCCUGUGCACCAUGAUCAUGUUUUCCAGCUCUUGUUGGGAACAUUUUCUUGUGACUAGAGUGCAGGGUAUGGGGGGACAUGGCAGGGAUUGGAGGAGUCCAAGGAGGAGGUUGGCUUAGGGACCCGUGAGACAGAGAUGAAGGCCUGGAUGAGGGCCAUGGGGGUAGGGAGUUGGGUGUCGAAAUUACAGUUCCUGUUUCUGGGAGCCUUCUUUGUCGUAGGGCUGUGAGCAAGCAUUUUAUGAGUUGCCUCAUUUAAUCCUUGUGACUUCAAUGUGCAGCAGGGACCUCUUGUUUGUUUGUGUUUCAGAUGGGGAAACAGGCUCAG
rnacentral:lncRNA from 1 species